CCACCACUUAGACCAGGGGUUCUCAAACAGGGGUUCAGGACCCCUCAGGGGGUCCCAAGGUUAUUACCUGGGGAGGUCGUGACCUGUCAGCCUCCACCUCAAACCCCGCUUUGCCACCAGCAUUUAUAAUGGUGUUAAAUAUAUAAAAAAAUAUUUUUAAAUUUAUUGGGGGGGGGGAGGGUCACACUCAGAGGCUUGCUAUGUGAAAGGGCUCACCAGUACAAAAGUUUGAGAACCACUGCCCUAAAGUCACCUCAUGGAGGGGCCACCAAACAUCCAUUAAAUGAAAAUAACUUUUAAUCUCUGCUAAGUAGGGAGGGAUUCAAACUGGUGACCUACAGGUGAAAGGAUCUAUCACAUUAACAAUACCCCAGGGCAUGCUUAUUGGAAAGAUACAUUUAACUAAUCAAAUUCUAACUUUCUGAAGGCAGGGUCUUCCACUCUCUGGACACACAGGCAAAAUCUCCCACACUUUGCUUAGUUUCAAACACACUAAGUCUGCAGUAUCUAUUCUUAACUGGACAAUUCUCAUUAACCAAAUACAAAUAAAAAUGCAAUAGUAAAAUGAAUAUUUAAAAGUGAAUUUAGAUGUUGUGCUAGUAUGUUUUGUAACAUAAAAUCAUUCUAGUGAUUAUUCCAGGAUCCUUAUGUUAAAAUUAAUAUAUAUGUAUUUUUCCUCAACCCCCAUGUUAUCAGCAUGGUUUGACCCCAUAGCCUUUAAAUCCACCUCAGCUACAGGAUUAACUAGUAGGGGAAAGCACACUGUUUUCCUUUAUAUAGAUCAACUCCUCCAGGGAAGUACAACAUAUACUUUGUCAGUGGGUACACAAGUGUUUGAGAGAGAACAGAAAAACACUGGUCACCAUCAGAAUUCUUGGUUUCUAUUCCUGGCUCUGGGAGCAGAUUGUGGUCUAGUGGUUACAGACAGCAUAGCCAAAUAUAAAAAUAACCCUGUUUGGAUCAUCUGUGGGGGUGAAACACAGGAUCUUUGGAUAUUAAAACAUGAGCUACCUCUUGAGCUAAAGAAUCACAGGUGAAAUCCUGGCCCCACUGAAGUCAAGAUCCUAGAUCUCUUAACAUGAAAAUAGUAGGAACAUAGGACUAGUAGGGACCGCCUGAGUCACUGAACCCAAUCCUCUCCGACCACAGGCAACCCCAUUCGUAAACGUAUCAGUAGCAGUCAUACAUCUUUACAUGUAAUCUAGCAGCUACAGUAUAACACAGAUCUACAUGGUUAAACACAAACACCUAAACUGACAUAUUCCUUCUGAAAGCGUGUGGCAGAGGGGAUGACAAAACUCUAUUAUAGCAGAAUGCUACGUUCUGUUCCUAGCUCUGACUGAAGUGACCUUUUGCAAGCUCUUAGUUAUCUUCUCUGAGAAACUGGCAAAUGAUAGUUAUUCCCACAAGUUAUGAAACCUUGACUCAAAAUAAGGGUUAAGAAGGGCACAGAAAUAUCAACUGCAUUCAGUGGACGAGCUAGGACCAAAAACUCAUGGUCUCUGGCCUUGCAAUUUAAUGCACCUUCCUCUAAGCCGUAAGGCAUUUUAGGAAGGGGAAGGGGUUAUCUCUUUCAUUUUGCUUCUCCAAAAUCAUGUGACGGCUGCAGCUUUUCAAAUCAUCAUGAGCUUCUGUAAAGUAGGGGUCAAAUUAUGUCACCCAUAAUAAAUUUGUGAGAACUGGCAAUGCUGAACUUUUUACAACCACAAAGAGCACUUCUUCUAACAGCUGAGCUGCUUGUUCUCUCUCUCUCUCUUUUUUUUUUUUUUUUUUUUUUUAAGAAAACACCACAGACUGGGAAGAAAGGAACUCAAGAGAAGCAAGAGAUGCACACACACAAAAUGCAGUACUUCACUUCAGAAAAAAAAUAAGGAUUUUAUUGCA